GUGUCAGCAGCCGCGGUAAUACGUAGGUGGCGAGCGUUACUCGGAAUCACUGGGCAUAAAGGGCGUGUAGGCGGGUGCGUAAGUCCGGUGUGAAAGCCCCCGGCUCAACCGGGGAAGGCCAUCGGAUACUGCGUGUCUUGAGUGUGGGAGAGGAGAGUGGAACUCUUGGUGGAGCGGUGAAAUGCGUAGAUAUCAAGAGGAACGCCGGUGGCGAAAGCGACUCUCUGGCCCAUUACUGACGCUGAGGCGCGAAAGCCAGGGGAGCAAACGGGAUUAGAAACCCCAGUAGUCC
rnacentral:rRNA from 1 species